rnacentral:rRNA from 1 species
CCCUUAGAUGUCCUGGGCCGCACGCGCGCUACACUGAGUGUCUGAGAUACGAGUCUGCCUGGUCCGGCAAGGUCUAGGUAAUCGCUAAAAGACACAUCAUGCUUGGGAUAGAUUAUUGCAAAUAUUAAUCUUGAACGAGGAAUUCCUAGUAAGCGCAAGUCAACAGCUUGCGUUGAUUACGUCCCUGCCCUUUGUACACACCGCCCGUCGCUACUACUGAUUGGAUGUUUAAGCGAGGUUCUCGAACUGCUAGCGACUUAGCUUCGGUGAGGUCGCAGUGUGGGAAGUGAACCGAGCUCUGGUGUCUAGAGGAAGUAAAAGUCGUAACA